UAGGGAAUCUUCCGCAAUGGACGCAAGUCUGACGGAGCAACGCCGCGUGAGUGAAGAAGGAUUUCGGUUCGUAAAACUCUGUUGUUAGAGAAGAACAGCGCAUAGAGUAACUGUUAUGCGUGUGACGGUAUCUAACCAGAAAGCCACGGCUAACUACGUGCCAGCAGCCGCGGUAAUACGUAGGUGGCAAGCGUUGUCCGGAUUUAUUGGGCGUAAAGCGAGCGCAGGCGGUCAAUUAAGUCUGAUGUGAAAGCCCCCGGCUCAACCGGGGAGGGUCAUUGGAAACUGGUUGACUUGAGUGCAGAAGAGGAGAGUGGAAUUCCAUGUGUAGCGGUGAAAUGCGUAGAUAUAUGGAGGAACACCAGUGGCGAAGGCGACUCUCUGGUCUGUAACUGACGCUGAGGCUCGAAAGCGUGGCUAGCAAACAGG
rnacentral:rRNA from 1 species